GAUGAACGCUGGCGGCGUGCUUAACACAUGCAAGUCGAACGAUGAAGCCCAGCUUGCUGGGUGGAUUAGUGGCGAACGGGUGAGUAACACGUGUGUAACCUGCCCUUAACUCUGGGAUAAGCCUGGGAAACUGGGUCUAAUACCGGAUAGGAGCGUCCACCGCAUGGUGGGUGUUGGAAAGAUUUAUCGGUUUUGGAUGGACUCGCGGCCUAUCAGCUUGUUGGUGAGGUAAUGGCUCAUCAAGGCGACGACGGGUAGCCGGCCUGAGAGGGUGACCGGCCACACUGGGACUGAGACACGGCCCAGACUCCUACGGGAGGCAGCAGUGGGGAAUAUUGCACAAUGGGCGCAAGCCUGAUGCAGCGACGCCGCGUGAGGGAUGACGGCCUUCGGGUUGUAAACCUCUUUCAGUAGGGAAGAAGCGAAAGUGACGGUACCUGCAGAAGAAGCACCGGCUAACUACGUG
rnacentral:rRNA from 1 species